CAUAUCUAUAAGCGGAGGAAAAGAAACCCACAGGGAUUGCCCCAGUAACGGCGAGUGAAGCGGCAAAAGCUCAAAUUUGAAAUCCUGCGGGAAUUGUAAUUUGAAGGUUUCGUGGUCUGAGUCGGCCGCGCCCAAGUCCAUUGGAACAUGGCGCCUGGGAGGGUGAGAGCCCCGUAUGGCGCACGCGACUCUUUGCACCGCGGCUCCGACGAGUCGAGUUGUUUGGGAAUGCAGCUCUAAGUGGGUGGUAAAUUCCAUCUAAAGCUAAAUAUUGGCGAGAGACCGAUAGCGAACAAGUACAGUGAUGGAAAGAUGAAAAGCACUUUGAAAAGAGAGUGAAACAGCACGUGAAAUUGUUGAAAGGGAAGGGCUUGCAAGCAGACACGGUUUUACCGGGCCAGCGUCGAAAAGGGGGGAGGAACAAGAACUCGAGAAUGUGGCGCGCACCUUCGGGCGCGCGUGUUAUAGCUCGUGUUGACGCCUCCAUCCCUUUUCGAGGCCUGCGAUUCUAGGACGCUGGCGUAAUGGUUGCAACCCG
rnacentral:rRNA from 1 species